rnacentral:rRNA from 1 species
UACGUAGGCAGCAAGCGUUGUUCGGAGUUACUGGGCGUAAAGAGUGCGUAGGUGGUGCCCUAAGUCUGUUGUGAAAUCUCCCGGCUUAACUGGGAGGGUGCGGUGGAAACUGGGGUGCUUGAGUGUGGGAGAGGUAAGCGGAAUUCCUGGUGUAGCGGUGAAAUGCGUAGAUAUCAGGAGGAACACCGGUGGCGAAGGCGGUUCUCUGGGCAUGUCCUGACGCUGAGGAGCGAAAGUGUGGGGAGCGAACAGG